GGGUCUUUAAAACUUUCGUCGAAGUUGCCGGAUACCGCGUAAAUGUUUCACUGCUUUAGACGUUUCCGAGCAGGAAGUAGGUGUUGAAGAUUUAGUUUCCAGCGGCGUGGACGAGAGGAAAAGGAUUUUUAAGUACUCCAGCCAUCGACGGAAACCCGCAGGAAAGUGGAAAUCGACCGUGGGGGAUCAGACAAUUUCCUUUCCCGUCGAAGUAACGCCCACUCUUGGCUUCUUCGUUUCUCUCUUUCUAACCGACGAAACUUGCGAGUUUACUUUAAGAACCGGCCCCGGCUUUCGUACUUAAGCACGAUACCGGCUCAAGAAGUUGACAGAGAACUGUUUUCCUCUUAUUUUGUAUCGGGAACGAGCGAUCCGAUGAAUCUGCAAUUUUAUAAGCUUCUCGGUGUCUUCCUGUUGUUGCUGCACGAGCUGGCAAUUAUUGCAACAUGGUGUCUAACGUAAGUCAUAGCUGUACCUGGAAAGGAAAGAAUUUUUCACAAUGAAGAAUAACGUAGCUGCUGCUGCAUUUGUGCGCCAUAUAUGUAUUUAACAGAACAUGGUUGGGCAAAUAUACCAUUGCAUUCUGUUUCUGAUUACACCAAGGACAGAAGCAAGGACAAUAUGCAAGAAAAGAGAUUUUUAAUAAAGCCGGAUCUUAUACGAGUAUUCUUUGCAAGAUAAGCUCCUUUUACUAUAAACAAGAAUAUAGUAUUAUACUAGUAAUUUGUUUACCCUUGUUGUCUUUGAAGUUACUGCUUCAAUCAGAUUCAAAGAACACUGAAAUAAUUUUAAAUUUAUACACUUCGCUAUACAUUUUGAUUUUGUAAUGCAAGUGUCCCUAAUUAUUUAUCUUUUGCAUUCGUUCAUCGUUUAUUUCGUUUAAAAAUAAAAAAACUUGAGAAUUAAGAUAUAUGGACACAUUUCUAGGAAGAAUCAAGAAAAAGUUGAUCAACCGAUCAAUUCGUUUAUUCCGUUUCUUGCAGAAGGAAUUUUAUCGACGUGCAGGUGCUUGUUAUUUUCCGAACGCUGUUUAGUCGAACAAUUUUAUUGCCGCUGAAUUAAAUUCCUUCUCAGUUAGAUCUGAGAAUUCCAGGCGAGAAUACAACGUCUGCCGCAAAGGAAUUUCCGUAUUACUCAUCAUCCUCGUGCAUGUCGAACAUUCUUUUUCGAGACGAGCCUUGUCACACUUUUCGACGCAUAUGUAAAAUUCAAUUAAAUCCUAUUUGAUAAUGUCUCUAUUCUAAAAUAUAACUCUUGUUAUAAUAUCUGACGCGGGUGAAACAAAUUUCUGCUUACAAUUAGUUCCACUUCUUUUAAAUUUAAUAUAAAUUUGCAUAAAAAUGUGCAUUGUAAUCGCGA
rnacentral:misc_RNA from 1 species